rnacentral:lncRNA from 1 species
CUGGUUCAGAUCCGGAACUGGCUGCCUCCCUGCUAGCGCAGAAAAUAAAACUUGCAUUUUAAGCUCCUGUCUCUGAAGUGAGUUUUCUAGGCUUCCACCCCGAACCCAACAUUUUGAUGCAUGAACUGGAAAGCCAAGAGCUCAUGCCUGUUUUGGGGUGCCCCACCGAUUCUCAGUGAUGGAAGAGUGAGUUGUAGAUCCUUGGGAUUCCGAAAGAGGCGGAGCUGGUUGCGGCACACUUGCCAUUAGCCAGUGGUGGAACCUGGGGAAUUUGAAGGGUGACUGAAGUCAUCCUGACAGUCUGCCUCCCCAUUAGAAGCCCACACACAGACCUGCUCUGUCCUGCAAAUCACACAUCAUUUGUGGAGCCGCACAGAGAGUGCCGACAACUCGCAUGUGCUGUGCUGUUUGUUUUUAGCUACAGCGCUGUGAUUGGAGUCCUCGGAAACAACUGGGGUGCUUUGAGCCGUGGAAAACAUCUUGUUCGAAAGCCCAUCUAGGGGCUCUGGGAAAGGUUCUCUGGGUGAGAAGGCACACUGCUCU